GUUGUCAAUGAUGUUUUCAUAACCAUAGCUCGAGUUUCAUUGACCAUGAGAACACUACAUGCACUACCAUCUGAGACAUC